rnacentral:rRNA from 1 species
AGUCGAGCGAUCGAUGGGAGCUUGCUCCCUGAGAUUAGCGGCGGACGGGUGAGUAACACGUGGGCAACCUGCCUAUAAGACUGGGAUAACUUCGGGAAACCGGAGCUAAUACCGGAUACGUUCUUUUCUCGCAUGAGAGAAGAUGGAAAGACGGUUUACGCUGUCACUUAUAGAUGGGCCCGCGGCGCAUUAGCUAGUUGGUGAGGUAAUGGCUCACCAAGGCGACGAUGCGUAGCCGACCUGAGAGGGUGAUCGGCCACACUGGGACUGAGACACGGCCCAGACUCCUACGGGAGGCAGCAGUAGGGAAUCUUCCGCAAUGGACGAAAGUCUGACGGAGCAACGCCGCGUGAACGAAGAAGGCCUUCGGGUCGUAAAGUUCUGUUGUUAGGGAAGAACAAGUACCAGAGUAACUGCUGGUACCUUGACGGUACCUAACCAGAAAGCCACGGCUAACUACGUGCCAGCAGCCGCGGUAAUACGUAGGUGGCAAGCGUUGUCCGGAAUUAUUGGGCGUAAAGCGCGCGCAGGUGGUUCCUUAAGUCUGAUGUGAAAGCCCACGGCUCAACCGUGGAGGGUCAUUGGAAACUGGGGAACUUGAGUGCAGAAGAGGAAAGUGGAAUUCCAAGUGU